GGAGACUGUAUUAUUCUUCAGCAACAAUUUCUGAAGGUACAUGCAACAACUUUCCACUCUGGAUGUCUCCUGAACACCUCCAAUGCCUUCUACUACCAGAACCUGUCCAUCAAUGAGUGUUCACGGCAGUGCUUGAAUACACAAUCUUGUCUCUUAUUUUGCUUCGACGUCACCACGAAAAAGUGCGAUCUUCUGUCUUGCUUCGUGUCGCUCCUGUUCCCUG